rnacentral:rRNA from 1 species
UACGUAGGGUGCAAGCGUUUAAUCGGAAUUACUGGGCGUAAAGCGUGCGCAGGCGGUUUUGUAAGUCUGUCGUGAAAUCCCCGGGCUCAACCUGGGAAUUGCGAUGGAGACUGCAAGGCUAGAAUCUGGCAGAGGGGGGGUAGAAUUCCACGUGUAGCAGUGAAAUGCGUAGAGAUGUGGGAGGAACACCGAUGGCGAAGGCAGCCCCCUGGGUCAAG